AAAUAAACUAUUGUUUUCAAACAUUCAUUUCAACGUACAUUUAAUCUCAUUUUACCUCAAAUUUUAAUGUCAUUAAACUAAAUUUUUAAGAGUUAAUUUCUACCUCAUAAUUUUGUUUUUUCUUUUUUGGAAUAUAUGCAUACAUAAAAGUUGAUUCAUGGGUCGGUAUGAACAAUCAUAAAUAUCUCCUCAAAUACCAUUUGGUCAGAAUUGAGUUUAUCAUCAUCAGGCCCAAGCCCAUACAAAAGAGAUCCAAACUAGUCUUAGGGCCCAUGAGUUUUUUUUUUGUUUUUUUUUUGGGUUAUGACUCAAUGAGUCUCAAUUUGGAAAAGAAAAGAAAAGAAAAGAAAGAGAAAGAAAAUAGCAAGAGGUUUCCAAGAUCCGGGGCAUUUGCUGGUGUAGAUGGAAGCUAAAUCUCAGGAGAAGACGUCGACAACUGUUUGGUAAUCUUCAUUUUACAUCAAGCGUUUCCAGCUGCCAAUCUGAAUUUCAAAGAUACAAAUUUGAAGAUUGAAUUCCAGAACCUCCAAUGGAAUCACCCACUGGAAUGAAUUUGACUAAUGGCAAGAUUCAUCCAUUCAAUGAUAAAACUUCCAAGCCCUUUAAGAUCUUUGUGGGUUAUGAUCCUCGGGAAGAUAUUGCUUAUGAGGUUUGUCGCUACUCAAUUCUAAAACGAGCUUCAAUUCCUGUUGAGGUCAUACCAAUAAAACAGUCUGAGUUGAGAAAAAAGGGAUUGUAUUGGCGUGAAAGAGGGAAGCUGGAGAGCACCGAGUUUUCAUUUUCUCGGUUCUUGACUCCAUACUUGGCUAAUUAUGAUGGUUGGGCAAUGUUCGUGGAUUGUGAUUUUCUUUAUUUGGCAGACAUUAAGGAAUUGAGAGAUUUGGUUGAUGAUAAUUGCGCAAUAAUGUGUGUGCAACAUGAUUAUGCGCCCAAGGAGACUACAAAAAUGGAUGGGGCGGUGCAAACGGUGUAUCCGAGGAAGAAUUGGUCUUCAAUGGUUUUGUAUAAUUGUGGGCAUCCCAAGAACAGGGUGUUGACGCCUGACGUGGUGAAUUCUCAAACAGGUGCUUAUCUUCAUAGAUUUAUGUGGUUAGAUGAUCAUGAGAUUGGGUCAGUUCCAUUUGUUUGGAAUUUUCUUGUGGGUCAUAACAAGGUUAUUGAGGAUGAUCCAAGUACGCUCCCCAAGGCCAUACACUAUACUCUAGGAGGACCAUGGUUCGAGAGUUGGAAAAACUGUGAGUUUGCAGACUUGUGGGUGAAUGAAAUGGAAGAAUGUCAGAAGGAAAUGAAGACCAAAACAGAAUAGGUGGCAUCAAUCAACAGCACAAUCUCUGCUGCUGUAAUUAGCCAUGAUGAGCCAACUGAUGAGGAGUAAGUGGGGCAUUCUUGGGUAAGAGAGCUAGCUGAGGAGCUCAACUCUUGGGGAGUAAAUUAGGAUGGAUUUUCCUUACUUGACUAGUAUUUUAUUAAAAACCUUGUGGAUUUUGGGAAUAGUAUUGAUCAUUUAAUUGUAGGUCUACUACUGUUCUUGAUGUCAAAUUCAUUAAGGCUGUUGAUUGCUUUGAUUUAUGAUUCAAAGAAAAAAGAUGAUGAUGAUUGGACAGUUGUUUUUUUGUACUGAGCUAGGGUUGGUAUGAAACACGUGAGUCAGACCAUCGGUACUUCUGAAUCUAAAAGUUGUGCAUUUAAGAGUGUAGUAUGUUAUUGACUGGAAAGGCAUGUAAGGUUUAUACCAAGGCAAUUCACUAGAAAAACUACCUGAGGCAGUCUUGCUUCAUCAUGAUGUUGCUCACUCGAUCUAAAUAUCUCAUAGCUUGUGGUUUCCAUUAUGUUUGGAGUUCACAUCUUCUUUUGAAGUAAAUGGUCCUCACUAAAGUGGAGUAUUUUGGGAAUCGGUGGUCCUAUGUAGUGCUGGCACUGGUUGGAUGCUUUUGUCCUCUUCUCCCAUCAGAUUAGAUGCUGACACAGCACUACAUCCUGGGUCCUUAAGUUCUUAUCUUGAUUUUUUAUGCUCAUGUUGACACUUUGAUGUGCUUUUUUGUUAGGUUUUUCCUUAUGAUUCAUAUUCUUAUUUACUCUUUUCAACCUCAUAUACUGGGAUGAAGCAUUUGUCAACUUUAGGCACAUAUUUGAUCUCGGCUUCCCUCCUUCCCCAUUCUCAUCAUUGUAACCAUGUCAGAUGCUAGGUGGAUGGUUCCUACAAACAACAUACGAUUCUCUAGAUGUUGCAUGGGUUUGGGUAUGAGUGUUGAGCAUCGGAUAUGAGUAUGUGUCUAGGUGUUUGAUCCUACACAACUUAGAAUUUUAAGAUACUAGGACUCGGCUCUCAAAUUUUAGGAUAUUGGGGCUCAGCUAAUAAUGAUCGAAAAGAGGGGACAUAGGUACUAGGAAAAAGAAAAGUGAAUUAGAAAUAAAUCGUAAGUGAAGAUAUCUUUUUUAAAAACUAUAUUUUUUUUACUAGAUCCUUGUUUUCCUUGUGUCCCUAAAUCUUCUUACAAAAAUUCAUUUUUCUGUCUACUCUUCCUUUUUCCUAAUGUCAUGAGUAUCCGAGGAGGAUCCAAGCUUACCCAUGUCAUGAGUUGUCUACUUACGUAGGUUGGUGAAAUUGAAGCAUCCCAAACUUACCCAUGUCAUGAGUUGUCCACAUAGGUAGGUUGGUGAAAUUAAAGGAUUCAGAUAUCACAACUCUUAGGUUCAUUUUUCACAUGGUACCACAAAACAACUUUCUCAAAGCACAAUCCUGUUCACAUUCUUUAUCAGAUCUGCUAUUUGUAAUGCUUGACCUCGGAUUAUAUACUGUUCUUGUGCUUGCUUUAUUGAUAGGCACCCUUUUAUGUAGUUCAACUGAGAUCACCCAUUGUUUGCUUGCCUUAUUUUCUUGCUAAACAUGCAUUGGGUAGAACUAGAUUUUCUGUCUGGGAACAUAGCUGUUUAAUGUGAGGGGGAUAGGGUUGAAGCAACAUGAUACAACUCACUUCAUAGGUCAUGUCCAUUGCUGCAACAAACUUCAAAUUCACUGUUUUACUGCAAAUGUGAAAGCCAAAAAAGUAGUAGACAAUAUGGAAGGUAUGGAUAUUGAAAGUUUGGUGUAGCAUUGGAUUCUGAGCUGUAGCAUGUGGGUGUGUGACCCAAGCUCCCCCACACGUUAUUUUCAGGUCAUGUUAAUAAUUAGCAUAACCCCAUAUGUCUGUUGGUACAUGACAUUAAUCUAGGCUACGUGUCAACUUAUGGUUCACAAGCUUAUGAGCCUGUCUUCCCUAAUCACCUCGAUCACAUGUGUAAAAUCAUAGUUGGAAAGAUUGAAGGAGAGGCUCUUAUCUGUACUAGUGAAUAUGAUAUUGAUGGGUCAGAGGUGGGUGGGUGUCUUGGGGGGAAGGUGUUUACUGGGAGGUAAUCAUAUCAAAGCCUCUUUCCAGCCUGCCCCAGCUUUAUAAAUUCUACAUGAGGUAUGACUUUUAGAGGAUAAGAUAAGGAGGGAUUCUUCUAGUUUUCAUAAAUAUUUUCACCUGCUUUCUGUAGACUAGUUUGAGAAACAAGAAAAAUGGAUAGCGCUCCAGAUGCUCAAGAGAUGUCCUAUUUUGAUCAUGUCCAAAAACGCAAGGACGAGAAGGGAUGCCUCUAUGCUUGCGUGUUUGGGGCGUUGUGCUGCUGUUGCUGCUAUGAAACGUGCGAGUGCUGCUUGGACUGUCUCUGCUGCUGUCUCUAAUCUUCUGUCCAUGUCUUUAUUUCUUUUGUAAAACUUUGUAAUAAUCAUGUUGGAAUUUCUUGUAUUUUUGGCAUCUCCUCCUUUGCCUGAUGUAUGCGUGCCUUUUAAUUCAGAAGUGAUUUUAGUUUUCUCUUGGAUGAGAAAGCUAUGAAAA